rnacentral:rRNA from 1 species
UUAAGUUAUUAAGGGCGCACGGUGGAUGCCUUGGCACUAGAAGCCGAUGAAGGACGUUACUAACGACGAUAUGCUUUGGGGAGCUGUAAGUAAGCUUUGAUCCAGAGAUUUCCGAAUGGGGAAACCCAGCAUGAGUUAUGUCAUGUUAUCGAUAUGUGAAUACAUAGCAUAUCAGAAGGCACACCCGGAGAACUGAAACAUCUUAGUACCCGGAGGAAGAGAAAGAAAAUUCGAUUCCCUUAGUAGCGGCGAGCGAAACGGGAAGAGCCCAAACCAACAAGCUUGCUUGUUGGGGUUGUAGGACACUCUGUACGGAGUUACAAAGGACGACAUUAGACGAAUCAUCUGGAAAGAUGAAUCAAAGAAGGUAAUAAUCCUGUAGUCGAAAAUGUUGUCUCUCUUGAGUGGAUCCUGAGUACGAUGGAGCACGUGAAAUUCCGUCGGAAUCUGGGAGGACCAUCUCCUAAGGCUAAAUACUCUCUAGUGACCGAUAGUGAACCAGUACCGUGAGGGAAAGGUGAAAAGCACCCCGGAAGGGGAGUGAAAUAGAACCUGAAACCGUGUGCUUACAAGUAGUCAGAGCCCGUUAAUGGGUGAUGGCGUGCCUUUUGUAGAAUGAACCGGCGAGUUACGAUUUGAUGCAAGGUUAAGCAGUAAAUGUGGAGCCGUAGCGAAAGCGAGUCUGAAUAGGGCGUUUAGUAUUUGGUCGUAGACCCGAAACCAGGUGAUCUACCCUUGGUCAGGUUGAAGUUCAGGUAACACUGAAUGGAGGACCGAACCGACUUACGUUGAAAAGUGAGCGGAUGAACUGAGGGUAGCGGAGAAAUUCCAAUCGAACCUGGAGAUAGCUGGUUCUCUCCGAAAUAGCUUUAGGGCUAGCCUCAAGUGAUGAUUAUUGGAGGUAGAGCACUGUUUGGACGAGGGGCCCCUCUCGGGUUACCGAAUUCAGACAAACUCCGAAUGCCAAUUAAUUUAACUUGGGAGUCAGAACAUGGGUGAUAAGGUCCGUGUUCGAAAGGGAAACAGCCCAGACCACCAGCUAAGGUCCCAAAAUAUAUGUUAAGUGGAAAAGGAUGUGGCGUUGCCCAGACAACUAGGAUGUUGGCUUAGAAGCAGCCAUCAUUUAAAGAGUGCGUAAUAGCUCACUAGUCGAGUGACACUGCGCCGAAAAUGUACCGGGGCUAAACAUAUUACCGAAGCUGUGGAUUGUCCUUUGGACAAUGGUAGGAGAGCGUUCUAAGGGCGUUGAAGCAUGAUCGUAAGGACAUGUGGAGCGCUUAGAAGUGAGAAUGCCGGUGUGAGUAGCGAAAGACGGGUGAGAAUCCCGUCCACCGAUUGACUAAGGUUUCCAGAGGAAGGCUCGUCCGCUCUGGGUUAGUCGGGUCCUAAGCUGAGGCCGACAGGCGUAGGCGAUGGAUAACAGGUUGAUAUUCCUGUACCACCUAUAAUCGUUUUAAUCGAUGGGGGGACGCAGUAGGAUAGGCGAAGCGUGCGAUUGGAUUGCACGUCUAAGCAGUAAGGCUGAGUAUUAGGCAAAUCCGGUACUCGUUAAGGCUGAGCUGUGAUGGGGAGAAGACAUUGNGUCUUCGAGUCGUUGAUUUCACACUGCCGAGAAAAGCCUCUAGAUAGAAAAUAGGUGCCCGUACCGCAAACCGACACAGGUAGUCAAGAUGAGAAUUCUAAGGUGAGCGAGCGAACUCUCGUUAAGGAACUCGGCAAAAUGACCCCGUAACUUCGGGAGAAGGGGUGCUCUUUAGGGUUAACGCCCAGAAGAGCCGCAGUGAAUAGGCCCAAGCGACUGUUUAUCAAAAACACAGGUCUCUGCUAAACCGUAAGGUGAUGUAUAGGGGCUGACGCCUGCCCGGUGCUGGAAGGUUAAGAGGAGUGGUUAGCUUCUGCGAAGCUACGAAUCGAAGCCCCAGUAAACGGCGGCCGUAACUAUAACGGUCCUAAGGUAGCGAAAUUCCUUGUCGGGUAAGUUCCGACCCGCACGAAAGGCGUAACGAUUUGGGCACUGUCUCAACGAGAGACUCGGUGAAAUCAUAGUACCUGUGAAGAUGCAGGUUACCCGCGACAGGACGGAAAGACCCCGUGGAGCUUUACUGUAGCCUGAUAUUGAAAUUCGGCACAGCUUGUACAGGAUAGGUAGGAGCCUUUGAAACGUGAGCGCUAGCUUACGUGGAGGCGCUGGUGGGAUACUACCCUAGCUGUGUUGGCUUUCUAACCCGCACCACUUAUCGUGGUGGGAGACAGUGUCAGGCGGGCAGUUUGACUGGGGCGGUCGCCUCCUAAAAGGUAACGGAGGCGCUCAAAGGUUCCCUCAGAAUGGUUGGAAAUCAUUCAUAGAGUGUAAAGGCAUAAGGGAGCUUGACUGCGAGACCUACAAGUCGAGCAGGGUCGAAAGACGGACUUAGUGAUCCGGUGGUUCCGCAUGGAAGGGCCAUCGCUCAACGGAUAAAAGCUACCCCGGGGAUAACAGGCUUAUCUCCCCCAAGAGUUCACAUCGACGGGGAGGUUUGGCACCUCGAUGUCGGCUCAUCGCAUCCUGGGGCUGUAGUCGGUCCCAAGGGUUGGGCUGUUCGCCCAUUAAAGCGGUACGCGAGCUGGGUUCAGAACGUCGUGAGACAGUUCGGUCCCUAUCCGUCGUGGGCGUAGGAAAUUUGAGAGGAGCUGUCCUUAGUACGAGAGGACCGGGAUGGACAUACCUCUGGUGUACCAGUUGUCGUGCCAACGGCAUAGCUGGGUAGCUAUGUGUGGACGGGAUAAGUGCUGAAAGCAUCUAAGCAUGAAGCCCCCCUCAAGAUGAGAUUUCCCAACUUCGGUUAUAAGAUCCCUCAAAGAUGAUGAGGUUAAUAGGUUCGAGGUGGAAGCAUGGUGACAUGUGGAGCUGACGAAUACUAAUCGAUCGAAGACUUAAUCAA